rnacentral:misc_RNA from 1 species
AACGCACGAGACCUGCGGACCUGCGGAAGGAUCAUUAGAGAAUCAUUGACGCAGGGUAUUUUUGCCCUGUGUCAACCCACUCUAUUUUCACCCCUUGUGAACUGUCGAUCGGUCGAGAAUGUCCUGCAUUCUUGGUCGAGGGUGCUGCAAUUCGAUUCGAUGUCGACUUGCCACCCGAAUCACCCUUUUGAAAACCAUAGUGUGUUGAAUGGCACGCCACAUGGCGAUUCUCUGAAACAC